GACGUAGGGUGCGAGCGUUGUCCGGAUUUAUUGGGCGUAAAGAGCUCGUAGGCGGCUCGUCGCGUCUGCCGUGAAAACCCGCAGCUCAACUGCGGGCUUGCGGUUGAUACGGGCGGGCUGGAGUUCGGUAGGGGAGACUGGAAUUCCUGGUGUAGCAGUGAAAUGCGCAGAUAUCAGGAGGAACACCGGUGGCGAAGGCGGCUUGCUGGGCCGGUUCUGACGCUGAGGAGCGAAAGCGUGGGGAGCGAACAGG
rnacentral:rRNA from 1 species